GACGAACGCUGGCGGCGUGCUUAACACAUGCAAGUCGAACGGUGAAGGGACCGGUUUUUGCUGGUUCUGGAUGAGUGGCGAACGGGUGAGUAACACGUGAGUAACCUGCCCCCUUCUUCUGGAUAACCGCAUGAAAGUGUGGCUAAUACGGGAUAUUCUGCGCCUGUUGCAUGGUGGGGGUGGGAAAGAUAUUGUUUCGGUGGGGGAGGGGGUCGCGGCCUAUCAGUUUGUUGGUGGGGUGAUGGCCUACCAAGGCGGUGACGGGUAGCCGGCCUGAGAGGGUGGACGGUCACACUGGGACUGAGACACGGCCCAGACUCCUACGGGAGGCAGCAGUGGGGAAUAUUGCACAAUGGGCGCAAGCCUGAUGCAGCGACGCCGCGGGAGGGAUGGAGGCCUUCGGGUUGUAAACCUCUUUCGCCAGUGAAGCAGGCCUGUCCCUUUUGUGGGUGGGUUGACGGUAGCUGGAUAAGAAGCGCCGGCUAACUACGUG
rnacentral:rRNA from 1 species